CCUGCCCCUAGAGGCAUUGCAAUGUGAUUGCUGUGUCACAUGUGCAUCAGUCCGUGGCAAAGAGGAGAGGUAUGUCUUUGUUCUGUGUUCUGAUCUACAAACAUCUAUGAUUAGUAGCCUAACAUU